CUCCUUACGCGGCAGUCGAGAUACCACGAUCAAGAAGGUGGCUGUACCAGGGUGAAGCUUACCAGUCGCACUCCAGGUGUGCUAAACCUUGACCACUUCCCCAAGUACAGAACAACCGACUGCAUAGUUUAUGGUAUUGGGGAGCACCUGUGUUCCUGCUUUUCUCUC